CCUACGGGAGGCAGCAGUGAGGAAUAUUGGUCAAUGGCCGGAAGGCUGAACCAGCCAAGCCGCGUGAAGGACGAAGGUGCCAAGCAUUGUAAACUUCUUUUGUCAAGGGACAAAAUCAGUCUCGAGAGCCUGACCGAGGGUACUGCAUGAAAAAGCAUCGGCUAAGUCCGUGCCAGCAGCCGCGGUAAUACGGAGGAUGCGAGCGUUAUCCGGAUUUAUUGGGUUUAAAGGGUGCGUAGGCGGACUGUUAAGUCAGCGGGAAAAGCCCGGGGCUCAACCCCGGCGAGCCGUUGAAACUGGCUGUCUUGAGAGGGCGAGAGGUAUGCGGAAUGCGGAGUGUAGCGGUGAAAUGCUUAGAUAUUGCGCAGAACUCCGAUUGCGAAGGCAGCAUACCGGAGGGGUACUGACGCUGAGGCACGAAAGCGCGGGUAUCGAACAGGAUUAGAUACCCGUGUAGUC
rnacentral:rRNA from 1 species